rnacentral:rRNA from 1 species
UACGUAGGGUGCGAGCGUUGUCCGGAAUUAUUGGGCGUAAAGAGCUUGUAGGCGGUUUGUCGCGUCUGCUGUGAAAAUCCGGGGCUCAACCCCGGACUUGCAGUGGGUACGGGCAGACUAGAGUGUGGUAGGGGAGACUGGAAUUCCUGGUGUAGCGGUGAAAUGCGCAGAUAUCAGGAGGAACACCGAUGGCGAAGGCAGGUCUCUGGGCCUUACCUGACGCUGAGGAGCGAAAGCGUGGGGAGCGAACAGG